AGUGAACGCUGGCGGUAGGCCUAACACAUGCAAGUCGAACGGCAGCACAGUAAGAUCUUGCUCUUACGGGUGGCGAGUGGCGGACGGGUGAGGAAUACAUCGGAAUCUACUUUUUCGUGGGGGAUAACGUAGGGAAACUUACGCUAAUGCCGCAUACGACCUACGGGUUAAAGCAGGGGAUCUUCAGACCUUUCGCGAUUGAAUGAGCCGAUGUCGGAUUAGCUAGUUGGCGGGGUAAAGGCCCACCAAGGCGACGAUCCGUAGCUGGUCUGAGAGGAUGAUCAGCCACACUGGAACUGAGACACGGUCCAGACUCCUACGGGAGGCAGCAGUGGGGAAUAUUGGACAAUGGGCGAAAGCCUGAUCCAGCCAUACCGCGUGGGUGAAGAAGGCCUUCGGGUUGUAAAGCCCUUUUGUUGGGAAAGAAAAGCAGCAGGUUAAUACCCCGCUGUUCUGACGGUACCCAAAGAAUAAGCACCGGCUAACUUCGUG
rnacentral:rRNA from 1 species